GAGACGACGCUGAGCAGGACUGCGAUCACCGCCAGCGCGACGAAACCGCGCUC
rnacentral:sRNA from 1 species